UACAGAGGGUGCGAGCGUUGUCCGGAAUCACUGGGCGUAAAGGGAGCGUAGGCGGGUUAUCAAGUUGGAGGUGAAAGCCCAGGGCUCAACCUUGGAAUUGCCUUCAAAACUGAUAACCUAGAGGAUGAUAGAGGUAAGUGGAACUCCGAGUGUAGAGGUGAAAUUCGUAGAUAUUCGGAAGAACACCAGUGGCGAAGGCGACUUACUGGAUCAUUACUGACGCUGGGAG
rnacentral:rRNA from 1 species